GUCGAUGGCCAUACCACCCUGAAUGAGACUGAUCUUGUCUGAUCUCAGACGGUAAGAAGAAUUAGGUCUGGUUAGUACUUGAAUGGGGUACUCUCCUGGCAAUAUCAGAUUCUGUAGGCU
ensembl:rRNA 5S_rRNA 5S ribosomal RNA